AUAUAUAUAUAUAUAUAUAUAUAUAUAGAGAGAGAGAGAGAGAGAGAGAGAGAGAGACUCUAAAAAACCACCAUUAAAACUCCAACAAACAACAAAAGAAACAACUUUCCAUCUUCAUCACAACGCCAUCCCCAACUCAACCUUCUCUUUCUUUUCACUGAUCCAAACAACAUCAAACCUCAUCUUCUCCAAAACUACCACAUGAAGAAUCAUCAGUAUCAUAACAAGUUGUUAUUGUUGUUGUUAGUGGAACCAACCCUUUCAUUUCAUCUUAUCUUUAUGUCUCAACCGAUGUAAGUUCUUCACCCAUUAAAAACCAAUUUGAAACAAUAACCUUAAACACAAGAAAAAUACCAAGAUAUAAUGGAUAAUGAAAGCUUCUACCAUCACCACUUCCAAAUAACAACAACAAUAACACAUCACUAUCAUCUAUCAUCAUCUUCAUUACCUUAAAAAAAACCACACACAAACACCUAAUAACAACAACAAGGUUCAACCAACACACUCUUCAUCUCUCAAUAAAGACGAGCCUGCAAACUACUAAUAUGCACGCAUCUGUUUCCACUGUCGAAAAACAAAACGAACCUCCACCACCGACUAUCAUUCACCCACGUGAGCAGGCCAUCUUCGCCUUCAACCAUGUCGGAAUUGUCUAUCGAAUGUGCAAUUUUCUUUUCCAUUUUACGGUUUACCUUUGCACAUGUCUUUGGUCGUUGUGUAAGAAAUAUUUGAGAGAGUGAGAACUGGUAUUCUGAAACACAGGAUGGGGAAGGAAAUUGAAAAGUAUAUAUAUAUAUAUUUUUUUAACCAUUUCUCUCUGCCAUGUGUCACGCAGGAAGUGAAGAGUUUUUAGAAUGAAAUUUUGUUUCUCUCUCUACCUAAAGCCCCUCCACCCUUACCUCUUUUCUUUUUUCUUUCUCUUUUUUUAAAUUUAUAUUUUGUUUAUUCUUUUCUUACUUAUUGUUACUAUCAUUAUAUUAUU
rnacentral:lncRNA from 1 species